AAUACCGCAUAAGCCCACCGGUCGGCAUCGACCAGAGGGAAAAGGAGCAAUCCGCUUUGAGAUGGCCUCGCGUCCGAUUAGCUGGUUGGUGAGGUAACGGCCCACCAAGGCAACGAUCGGUAGCCGGACUGAGAGGUUGAACGGCCACAUUGGGACUGAGACACGGCCCAGACUCCUACGGGAGGCAGCAGUGGGGAAUAUUGCACAAUGGGGGAAACCCUGAUGCAGCGACGCCGCGUGGAGGAAGAAGGUCUUCGGAUUGUAAACUCCUGUUGUUGAGGAAGAUAAUGACGGUACUCAACAAGGAAGUGACGGCUAACUACGUGCCAGCAGCCGCGGUAAAACGUAGGUCACAAGCGUUGUCCGGAAUUACUGGGUGUAAAGGGAGCGCAGGCGGGAAGACAAGUUGGAAGUGAAAUCUAUGGGCUCAACCCAUAAACUGCUUUCAAAACUGUUUUUCUUGAGUAGUGCAGAGGUAGGCGGAAUUCCCGGUGUAGCGGUGGAAUGCGUAGAUAUCGGGAGGAACACCAGUGGCGAAGGCGGCCUACUGGGCACCAACUGACGCUGAGGCUCGAAAGUGUGGGUAGCAAACAGGAUUAGAUACCCUGGUAGUCCACACCGUAAACGAUGAUUACUAGGUGUUGGAGGAUUGACCCCUUCAGUGCCGCAGUUAACACAAUAAGUAAUCCACCUGGGGAG
rnacentral:rRNA from 1 species